AGUUGAUAGCGGUCUUUCGCCGCGUAAAGGUUUGUCCGACGUUUGAAACCGUUUUCAACAGUAUUAUCGUCGUUUCGGUUUUCGUUAAAUUUUUUUUUUUUCUCGAAAAAAAACAAUUAGAAAAAAAAAAGAUAACAAUAAUAUAAAAAAAAAAAAAAAAAUCGCCGAGUACAAUAUAUUAUUCGUAAACGCGAUAGUAAUAAAAAAAAAAAAAUUUUUUUUUUUUUUUCGUUUUGUUUUUCAAAAAUACACACGUCUUUUAACACGCGUUCGUAUCGACAUAUCGUACCCAUUAUUACUGUCGUCGACAUCGUCGCGUAACCGCAUUGUGUUUCCUCGGCGUCGUCGUCGUCUCGCGGCAAACGCGCGUGCCGAAAAUCCGCGUGCGUUUACUCAAUACCAUAAUAACAGGUAUAUAAUAUAGGUAGGUGAUCGCGAUACGGUUGUUUUCGUUUCUAUUUUCUUUCCCCAUCGACCCCCUCCCCCACCCUUUUUUUUCCCCCCCCGUUUUGCCAAACGAUUAUACUCGUUGUUUUAUUGUUAUCGAAACGUGCGUGUCGUGGUCGGUUCCGAAAAUUUAACGCUCGUACACGCCGCGCCGAUACAUUCGAACUUCCGUUCCCGUACGCGAGAAUAUCGUUGUCUCUGUACGACAUUAUCGAAUACAAAUAACGAUAAUUAAAACAAACAACAUAAAAAAAACCCCCGGCCUGAUCGUUUUUCAUCGCCGCUUCGGACGACGGGAUAUUUCGCGGCACACGCGGCGCGCGCGAAUUCGAAUCUCGCGGAAAAAUCUCACUCCCCGGGACGACGACGGAGCGGCAAGAACGGCGGAGUGCCGAAAAAAAACCGCGUCCGGCCGCC